rnacentral:tRNA from 1 species
CCCUGGUUAGCUCACUUAGUAGAGGACUCCACUGGAAAUGAAGAGGUCCCGGGAUUGAUACCCGGACCAGGCG